GGUGGAUUUGGAUAAAAGUGCGUU
rnacentral:siRNA from 1 species